GUUACAAUCAUUUGGAGUAUUAGAUUUGUUUCCCUUGCACACCAGAGGUGCCGACAAACAUGCUGUUCACAUUUUAAUUACAAUGUGUUGGAGCAGACUCCAUUAAUUAAUGGAGUCUCUGCGUUCUAAUUAGAACACUCCAGCAUCACCUCACCAUCAUGUGUAUUAACCGCCCCCCCCCAAACACCACAUUUUAAAAUGGCCACAGGGACACUUUAACUAAAGCUUGUCAAAUGAGCUUUAGUUAAAGUAUGCCCACAACCAUUUUAAAACACAGGGGGCUUAAUAUAUGUGAUGGUGAGCCAUUUUAAUUAGAGUGGCUGUUGGGGAACAGCUGUAAUUAAAACGCCUCCUCCCCACCCCCAAGCACAUGUAUAGGCACCCCCAGAAGCUCCAGGAUAGAUUCUGGAGCUAUCUAUACCACUUCUGGUAUCUGAGCUGACUUAUUGAGAAUUAUGUCAUAUAAUGCCCAACAAGCAAAUGCAAAGCAGUACUGUAGAUAUAUCUCUUAGUGUUCCAGAGAGAGAAAAACACAGCUCCUUACUAUACUUUCCCUAGAGCUGUGCCAGCCAGGCCCAAAUCAGCUAUAAAGGCCCAGUUUUCAAACAAGCUCACUUCCUAAUAAGAUACCAAAAUCACUAUCCAGAUUUCUCAGAGCAUUUUACUGAAAAUCUGUCCAAAAGGAGUUAUUGUUUGCUGGGCAUUUGUGGAAAUGUAGGGGCCUGCAUAGGAGCUUUGUCUUCUCUUUUUUUUUAAAAAAAGGGCCCUAAUUAUGGGCUCUAACCAUUUGAAAAUCUAGCCUUAACUUCUUUUGAAAAUAUUGUCCUAAAUGAGCAAAUCUGAAAACCCUUUCUUUAAAAGCCGCUCUGAGCCUUUUUGGAUAAUGUGGGAUAUGCAUCUAAAAAUCAACUAACUAAAAAAUAAAUAAAUGAAUAUAUAUUAUUUCAGAAGCAGCACUGAAAAUAUUAGCAGCGUCUGUGUCAAACAUGCAAAGUCAAGUGCAACUAAAAAGCUAAUACAGGAGGCAGUGAGCGAGAUACUAGGAGAGGAAGAGAGAGGUAAAGAUCUCCUUUUGGGCUGCACAUGCUUGAAUUGUGGAGGCUAUAUUAUCUACAUUUAUACUGUUAUAAUUAUUAAAAGGCUGAUCCCUCCACUCCUCAUUACCUCACCUCACCUCACCUCUGCCUGCCUCUCAUUGCACACUUGCCUUUACCUCUGGUGUCUGUCUGCUUAACUUCUAAAAUGCUAAACAAGUUUUGAUAUUUACCUGUUUAUGAUUAAAUUGCAAAAUGAUCUUCUUAGUUCUGUUCUAAAUUAAGGUCUGCAUUAAAUGUCAUAGCAUUUAUCUUUCAUAAAAUGAGACAGCAAGGACACUAAUUUCCUAGGUAUUCAAUCACUGCCCUGUGCCACUUGAGAGGCAGCUUGGGAAUGAGCCUGCCCACAGUUCACAGCUCACUGACAGCACUGAGAUGGAAUCAUAAAAGUCAAUUAAUCAUUAAAAGCUGUUACAAGCACAUAUCGAACCAGUCUGGCACAAAAUGUUAAUCAGUCCAAUAUCAAUAUAAUAAAUUCCUGCAAAUUGGAGCGAUCA
ensembl:lncRNA